GGCUUUUUCUUGCAGUGGUGUUUACAACGAACUGAUCGCAGCCAGUUACAGAUUUCUUUGUUCCUUCUCCACUACUCUGCUUCACUUGACCAGCCUUAA
rnacentral:sRNA from 1 species